rnacentral:rRNA from 1 species
UGCUUACCAUGCAAGUCGAACGCUGAGCUGGGUGCUUGCACCUGGUGGAUGAGUGGCGAACGGGUGAGUAAUACGUGAGUGACCUUCCUUGGACUCUGGGAUAAGCCCGGGAAACUGGGUCUAAUACCGGAUACGACCAGUCCUCGCAUGGGGUGCUGGUGGAAAGGGUUUGUACUGGUUCUUGAUGGGCUCACGUCCUAUCAGCUUGUUGGUGAGGUAAUGGCUUACCAAGGCGACGACGGGUAGCCGGCCUGAGAGGGUGACCGGCCACACUGGGACUGAGACACGGCCCAGACUCCUACGGGAGGCAGCAGUGGGGAAUAUUGCACAAUGGGCGCAAGCCUGAUGCAGCGACGCCGCGUGGGGGAUGACGGCCUUCGGGUUGUAAACCUCUUUCAGCAGGGAAGAAGCGAAAGUGACGGUACCUGCAGAAGAAGCGCCGGCUAACUACGUGCCAGCAGCCGCGGUAAUACGUAGGGCGCAAGCGUUGUCCGGAAUUAUUGGGCGUAAAGAGCUCGUAGGCGGUUUGUCGCGUCUGCUGUGAAAGCCCGGGGCUCAACCCCGGGUGUGCAGUGGGUACGGGCAGGCUGGAGUGCAGUAGGGGAGACUGGAAUUCCUGGUGUAGCGGUGAAAUGCGCAGAUAUCAGGAGGAACACCGAUGGCGAAGGCAGGUCUCUGGGCUGUUACUGACGCUGAGGAGCGAAAGCAUGGGGAGCGAACAGGAUUAGAUACCCUGGUAGUCCAUGCCGUAAACGUUGGGCACUAGGUGUGGGGGACAUUCCACGUUUUCCGCGCCGUAGCUAACGCAUUAAGUGCCCCGCCUGGGGGAGUACGGCCGCAAGGCUAAACUCAAAGGAAUUGACGGGGGCCCGCACAGCGGCGGAGCAUGCGGAUUAAUUCGAUGCAACGCGAAGACCUUACCAAGGCUUGACAUACACCGGAUCGCAGCAGAGAUGUUGUUUCCCUUCAGGCUGGUGUACAGGUGGUG